GACUGGGUAGCUCAGUUGGUUAGAGCACGGCAAUCAUAACGCCGGGGUCGAGAGUCCGAAUCUCUCCCCAGUCA
rnacentral:tRNA from 1 species